rnacentral:rRNA from 1 species
GACGAACGCUGGCGGCGUGCUUAACACAUGCAAGUCGAACGGUAAGGCCCUUCGGGGUACACGAGUGGCGAACGGGUGAGUAACACGUGGGUGAUCUGCCCUGCACUUCGGGAUAAGCCUGGGAAACUGGGUCUAAUACCGGAUAGGACCACUGCCUGCAUGGGUGGUGGUGGAAAGCUUUUGCGGUUUGGGAUGGGGCCGCGGCCUAUCAGCUUGUUGGUGGGGUGAUGGCCUACCAAGGCGACGACGGGUAGCCGGCCUGAGAGGGUGACCGGCCACACUGGGACUGAGAUACGGACCAGACUCCUACGGGGGGCAGCAGGGGUGAAUAUUGCACAAUGGGCGCAAGCCUGAUGCAGCGACGCCGCGUGAGGGAUGACGGCCUUCGGGUUGUAAACCUCUUUCAGCACCGACGAAGCGCAAGUGACGGUAGGUGCAGAAGAAGGACCGGCCAACUACGUGCCAGCCGCCGCCGUAA